CUUGGGAGGGCAAGUCUGGUGCCAGCAGCCGCGGUAAUUCCAGCUCCAAUAGCGUAUAUUAAAGUUGUUGCAGUUAAAAAGCUCGUAGUUGAAUUUCGGGAUCAAAUUGUCGGUCGUGCCUCGGUACGUACUGGCGUUAUUGGUUCCUCCCUUCUGAAGAACCGCGAUGUCAUUAAUUUGGUGUCGCGGGGAAUCAGGACUGUUACUUUGAAAAAAUUAGAGUGUUUAAAGCAGGCUCGCGCUUGAAUACAUUAGCAUGGAAUAAUGAAAUAGGACGUUUGAUUCUAUUUUGUUGGUUUCUAGGGUCGACGUAAUGAUUAAUAGGGAUAGUUGGGGGCAUUAGUAUUCAAUUGUCAGAGGUGAAAUUCUUGGAUUUAUUGAAGACUAACUACUGCGAAAGCAUUUGCCAAGGAUGUUCUCAUUAAUCAAGAACGAAAGUUAGGGGAUCGAAGACGAUCAGAUACCGUCGUAGUCUUAACCAUAAACUAUGCCGACUAGGGAUCGGAUGAUGU
rnacentral:rRNA from 1 species